UACACAUGCAAGUCGAACGGCAGCGCGGGAGCAAUCCUGGCGGCGAGUGGCGAACGGGUGAGUAAUACAUCGGAACGUGCCCAAUCGUGGGGGAUAACGCAGCGAAAAGCUAGUGCUAAUACCGCAUUAGCGAUCUACAGGAUGAAAGCAGAGGAGAUCGCAAAGACCUAUAGCAGCGAAUAGGAAGCGGCCGAUAGGCAAGAUUAAGGUAAGUUGAGUAGAAGAGUAAAAGGCUCACCAAAGACCUUACCGAAAUCUAGUAAAGCUUAGGAUCUAGAGAAGCGACGACCCANGCACAACAACAUAAGGGAACUAAGAGAACACAGAGGCCCNAAGACUCCUUAAAACUGGCGAAGGCAGCAAGUAGAGAGAGAA
rnacentral:rRNA from 1 species